GGGGAAUUUUCCGCAAUGGGCGAAAGCCUGACGGAGCAAUACCGCGUGAGGGAUGACGGCCUAUGGGUUGUAAACCUCUUUUUUCAGGGAGGAAACAAAUGACGUUACCUGAAGAAUAAGCAUCGGCUAACUCCGUGCCAGCAGCCGCGGUAAGACGGAGGAUGCAAGUGUUAUCCGGAAUCACUGGGCGUAAAGCGUCUGUAGGUGGUUGAAUAAGUCAACUGUUAAAUCUUGAGGCUCAACCUCAAAACCGCAGUCGAAACUAUUCGACUAGAGUAUAGUAGGGGUAAAGGGAAUUUCCAGUGGAGCGGUGAAAUGCGUAGAGAUUGGAAAGAACCCCGAUGGCGAAGGCACUUUACUGGGCUAUUACUAACACUGAGAGACGAAAGCUAGGGUAGCAAAUGGGAUUAGAUACCCCAGUAGUC
rnacentral:rRNA from 1 species